rnacentral:rRNA from 1 species
UUUCGACCUCGGAUCAGGUAGGGAUACCCGCUGAACUUAAGCAUAUCAAUAAGCGGAGGAAAAGAAACCAACAGGGAUUGCCUCAGUAACGGCGAGUGAAGCGGCAACAGCUCAAAUUUGAAAUCUGGCCCUCGGGUCCGAGUUGUAAUUUGCAGAGGGCACUUCGGGCGCGCGACCGGCCUAAGUUCCUUGGAACAGGGCGUCAUAGAGGGUGAGAAUCCCGUACGUGGCCGGCCGUCACCCCGUGUGAAGUCCCUUCGACGAGUCGAGUUGUUUGGGAAUGCAGCUCAAAAUGGGUGGUAAAUUCCAUCUAAAGCUAAAUACCGGCCAGAGACCGAUAGCGCACAAGUAGAGUGAUCGAAAGAUGAAAAGCACUUUGAAAAGAGAGUCAAACAGUAUGUGAAAUUGUUGAAAGGGAAGCGCUGGCAACCAGACGUGCCCGCGGGCGAUCACCCGGCCUUCGGGUCGGCGCACUCGCCCACGAUCAGGCCAGCAUCGGUUUCGACGGCCGGACAAAGGCGCGCGGGAACGUAGCUCCCUUCGGGGAGUGUUAUAGCCCGUGCCGCAAUGCGGCCCGCCGGGACCGAGGACCGCGCUUCGGCUAGGAUGCUGGCGUAAUGGUUGUCAGCGACCCGUCUUGAAACACGGACCAAGGAGUCUAACAUCUAUGCGAGUGUUUGGGCGUGAAACCCAUGCGCGGAAUGAAAGUGAACGGAGGUGGGAGCCUCGGCGCACCAUCGACCGAUCCUGAUGUCUUCGGAUGGAUUUGAGUAGGAGCAUAGCUGUUGGGACCCGAAAGAUGGUGAACUAUACGUGAAUAGGGUGAAGCCAGAGGAAACUCUGGUGGAGGCUCGCAGCGGUUCUGACGUGCAAAUCGAUCGUCAAAUUUGCGUAUAGGGGCGAAAGACUAAUCGAACCAUCUAGUAGCUGGUUCUUGCC